UACGUAGGGUGCGAGCGUUAAUCGGAAUUACUGGGCGUAAAGCGUGCGCAGGCGGCGCGUUAAGUCAGGUGUGAAAGCCCCGAGCUUAACUUGGGAAUUGCGCUUGUGACUGGCGUGCUGGAGUGUGGCAGAGGGAGGUGGAAUUCCACGCGUAGCAGUGAAAUGCGUAGAGAUGUGGAGGAACACCGAUGGCGAAGGCAGCCUCCUGGGCCAGCACUGACGCUCAUGCACGAAAGCGUGGGGAGCAAACAGG
rnacentral:rRNA from 1 species